GAUCCAAAACAUUUUACAAAUGGGUGUAAUCUGCCCCUCUGCAGUGCCUGGGCAUCUCCAGUGGUUCUAGUUCCCAAACCAGAUGGGGAGAUUCGUUUUUGCGUGAACUACCAUAAGUUAAAUGCUGUAGCUCGCCCAGACAACUAUCCAAUACCACGCACAGAUGAACUAUUGGAGAAAGUGGGAUGGGCCCAGUUCAUCUCUACCUUGGACUUAACCAAGGGGUACUGGCAGGUACCGCUAGAUGAAUCCGCCA